GAUGAACGCUGGCGGCGUGCCUAAUACAUGCAAGUCGAGCGAACAGACUAGGAGCUUGCUCCUCUUACGUUAGCGGCGGACGGGUGAGUAACACGUGGAUAACCUACCUUUAAGACUGGGAUAACUUCGGGAAACCGGAGCUAAUACUGGAUAAUAUAUUCAACCGCAUGGUUCAAUAUUGAAAGACUGUUUUUCUGUCUCUUAUAGAUGGAUCCGUGUCGCAUUAGCUAGUUGGUAAGGUAAUGGCUUACCAAGGCAACGAUGCGUACCCGACCUGAGAGAGUGAUCGGCCACACUGGAACUGAGACACGGUCCAGACUCCUAAGGGAGGCAGCAGUAGGGAAUCUUACGCAAUGGGCGAAAGCAUGACGGAGCAACGCGGAGUGAGUGAUGAAGGUCUUCGGAUAGUAAAACUCGGUUAUGAGGGAAGAACAAAUGUGUAAGUAAAUAUGCACGGAUUGACGGUACCUAAUCAGAAAGCCACGGCCAACUACGUG
rnacentral:rRNA from 1 species